rnacentral:rRNA from 1 species
GAGUUUGAUCGUGGCUCAGAUUGAACGCUGGCGGCAGGCCUAACACAUGCAAGUCGAGCGGUAGAGAGAAGCUUGCUUCUCUUGAGAGCGGCGGACGGGUGAGUAAUGCCUAGGAAUCUGCCUGGUAGUGGGGGAUAACGCUCGGAAACGGACGCUAAUACCGCAUACGUCCUACGGGAGAAAGCAGGGGACCUUCGGGCCUUGCGCUAUCAGAUGAGCCUAGGUCGGAUUAGCUAGUUGGGUGAGGUAAUGGCUCACCAAGGCGACGAUCCGUAACUGGUCUGAGAGGAUGAUCAGUCACACUGGAACUGAGACACGGUCCAGACUCCUACGGAGGCAGCAGUGGGGAAUAUUGGACAAUGGGCGAAAGCCUGAUCCAGCCAUGCCGCGUGUGUGAAGAAGGUCUUCGGAUUGUAAAGCACUUUAAGUUGGGAGGAAGGGCAGGUAAAUUAAUACUUUGCUGUUUUGACGUUACCGACAGAAUAAGCACCGGCUAACUCUGUGACAGCCGCCG